rfam:Spinacia oleracea cultivar SynViroflay scaffold14257.con0001.1, whole genome shotgun sequence.
AUGCUGUGGCGAGGACACUCCCUUUGAUACUCCUUGAACCUAUCACAUGCUUCAAAUAAGGAUUCAUCACGUUUUUGCUCGAAGGAUUGUAUCUUGUUCCGGUAU